rnacentral:lncRNA from 1 species
AUAGCCUUUGACGACGGUCAUUUCUUCGCGAAGAUCACUGCUGCAUGUUGCCUGAUGGGCGGCGUGUAUGGGGGAGAAUUCCUGUGAACAGACUUUGCAUCGAAGGCUAAACACACCCUCCGUCCCCCUGGUACUCAGAGCUGGCCGCCUCGUUUCUGGUGAUGUUACACAUCAGCCAGGCUUCCGCAUAGGACACUGUGCUCACCCUGAGUUAUUUUGGCGGCAGGGUGGCCGCUUUUCUCUUGCUCUCUUUCUGUUUUCCAGCUGCAUCUGUGAGUGUUUUUGUCCUUUGCUAAGAUGUGCUUUUCAAAAAUGUGAUUAACCGUCAUUUUCAGAAACAGAUAUUGGCUCUCCUUUGCCCACGAGACACAGCGUGUAAGAACAGGCAGACAUCAAGACAAUGCAAACGGGAAUGUUUGUUCAUCAGAAACUGUGUUAAUGGCUGCAUCUGCCCUUCUCCUCUUGGGCUGCCCGGGAUCAGCUGCGCUCUUCUGAUUGGCUGAUGUGCCCCCGCCCCCGCCGUGAAAACGCUUGGUUUUGUGCCCCAUAAAUAAAAGAGCCCCAUGGCUGCUCUGAGGUUGAUGCUUUGAGUGUAAGUGAGAGCAAUUUAAAAACUGAAAUCUGUCCUUAAUGCGAUGCGAUCAUGAGACGCAGGGACGUGGAAGACUGGCAUUCGGCGCCUUCCUCAAACCACCUUCCCAUCUCAAGUAUUCAUGCCAAGCGCCAUUACCAGUAGACGGUGAACUGGCAUAUACCAGCAGAGCAUUGUAAAGCCGUGGGAAGUUUACGUGUGUUUUAUAGCCUGUCAUUUUUAUUUGUGUCUUUUUCAAGUCAAAUGAAGUAGUGUGCUUGUUUGAGUUGCUUGGGGCUGUAUCUUUGGCUAUUUGGCACCUGAGCGCCUUGAAAGCCCCAAAGCCAGUGAGUAGAAUGCCAAAGGGGUUACAUCUGUUCUAGGCCAGUUUCAGGGAACAUGACUUAACCAUCCUAUGGAAUGAAUUUUAAAGAGAAAUCUUCCUUAAAGGGAGAAGCCAGCUAAUCCAUCGCAUACUCCUGUGAGGCCUGCCCUGUGCUCGGAGCUCUGAGAGAAGAAAGAGGAAAUAAAACCUAGUCUUAAACAGAUAGAAUUUAGGAGUUCCCAUCAUGGUGCCGUGGGAACGAAUCCAACUAGGCACCAUGAGGUUGCAGGUUUGAUCCUUGGCCUCACUCAGUGGGUUAAGCAUCCUGUGUUGCUGUGAGCUGUGGUGUAGGUCGCAGACUCAGCCUGGAUCCGGUGUUGCUGUGGCUGUGGUGUAGGCCGGCAGCUGUAGCUCCAAAUCAGCCCCUACCCUGGGAACCUCCAUAUGCUAUGGGUGUGGCCCUAAAAAGCAAAAACAAACAAACAAACAAACAAACACGACACUAGAGCAGGAAGCAUUUUAUAACAAGGAUGCAGGGUGAAAUUAGAGGGAGAAAAGAUUUCUCUUACUGGGGAGAAUGAGAAUGUUUAACUGGUUUUAAAUUCUAGCUUGUACACAUGCAAGAUAAUCCUCCCAGAUGUGUCCACAUCGGGUGUCAGAGAAACUUGGCCACAAACACCUCUGGUCAAUUUAUUUUAGAAAGGUGUUUAUGGAGUUUCUGUAUCCUGCAAACAUGCUGUCUGGUGGGAGGCUGAUCCUUUAGCCAGCAAUUCGUUGGGAAAAACUGGUCUGUGUCUGGAAGUCUCUUGACCACAGAAGGUAGUAAGGAUUUGUUUCGACUCAGCUGCAACGCAACACUUAGGAGGUAGGGACUAAGUGAUAAAUCAAGGGCCAUUGUCCCUGGUUAAUGAAAUGACACUGGUAAAAUUUCUGGAGGUAGAAGUUGCCCUGCUACUUCACAUGGCAACUUGUCAUAGGUGCCCGUGUUGCCCUUGGGGUUGAAGUUCUCCUCUCUUCCUUCCGACACCUGUAGCAGGUGGAAGUUCCCAGGCCAGGGAUCGAACCUCCACCACAGCAGUGACCUGAACCACAACAGUGACAAUGCCAGAUCCUUAACCCACUUAGCCACCAGAGAACUCCCCGGGGUUGAAUUCUUUAUCAGUACUUAUUUUCUCUACCCGCCUAAUCUCCACUCCAAGAGCUCAGGCAAUCACUACUAACACCAGCCUAGAGCAUGCAGACAUUCCCAGGAAAUCUAGCUGCUUUCCCGCUGCCUGAAGGCAGCCUUCUUUCCCCAUCAGCUCCCAUCCACUAUCCCACUGUGUGCAUAUUCUAGAGCAGUCGCCAGAGGCAAGGGUUUGGAUUCGGCUGCUCCUAUCUUUCCACUGAGGACCGAGCCUGACUGUGGAGAAAUAGUACAGUGUGUGGAAAAAGCUCUGUGUUGGAAUCAGAAGUCUGUGUGUAAGACCUACUUAGCUCUGCUGUUUCGCCUUGUAACGCUGAACAACUGCUUUGCAACUUGCUGAAUUGUAAGGUACUCAUCUGGGAAAUGGAGAGCAUGAGAUUUCCCUUGUCCGUAUCACCUUCUGGCUGUGAGGCUCAAAGGAGGUAAAGAGUACGAGUGAUUCACAGUGGUCACCACUUUAAUGUGUGUUUGCGGUUCUGGUGUUGAACUAGCUGUUGUGUGUGGGUGUCUGAGUAUCCGGUUCCUUUAGGAUAGGUUUGAGCACAGUGGGUUAAAGGUGAGACUCUGAUGAUAUUAGAUGGGAAGUGUCAUACUCCCUUUGGUAGAUCAUUUGCUUUUUUAUUUUUUAUUAAAGUAUAGUUGAUUUUUAAUAUUAUACCAGUAUCUGCUGUGUAGCAAAGUGACGCAGUCACGAUUAGGAACCAUGAGGUUGCGGGUUCGAUCCCUGGCCUCGCUCGGUGGGUUAAGGAUUUGGCAUUGCCGUGAGCUGUGGUGUGGGUCACAGAUGUGGCUCGGAUCUGGUGUUGCUGUGGCUCUGGCAUAGGUUGGCAGCUGUAGCUCCAAUGGAUUGGACCCCUAGUCUGGGAACCUCCAUGUGCCGUGGGUGUGGCUCUGAAAAGACAAAAAAAAAAAAAAAAAAAAGAAGGGAGGGAGAGAAAGAAAGAAGCGAAAAAGGAAAGAAGGACGUGAGGGGAGGGAGGACGGCAGGCCGGCCAAGUAAAAUUUCUUUGAUAGGUUUACAAAGUUUGG